CCGAGUAAGGGUCAUUCUGGCCCGACCUCCAACCCUUUGUUUAAUUACCAUGUUGCUUUGGCGGGCCCGUCUCACGACCGCCGGAAGUCCUUGGACUUCUCGCCCGUGCCCGCCAGUGGCCUUCUACAAACUCUUGAUCAAUUGUGAUGUCUGAGUAAUAAAUUUAAUAGUUA
rnacentral:misc_RNA from 1 species